UACAGAGGUCCCAAGCGUUGUUCGGAUUCACUGGGCGUAAAGGGUGCGUAGGUGGUGAGGUAAGUCGGAUGUGAAAUCUCCGAGCUCAACUCGGAAAUGGCAUUGGAAACUGCCUUGCUAGAGGAUCGGAGGGGGGACUGGAAUACUUGGUGUAGCAGUGAAAUGCGUAGAUAUCAAGUGGAACACCAGUGGCGAAGGCGGCUCUCUGGGACGGUACUGACGCUGAGUGCGCGAAAGCCAGGGGAGCGAACGGG
rnacentral:rRNA from 1 species